rnacentral:misc_RNA from 1 species
GAGAUAAUAUGUAAUCAUCAUUGGAUUUUACAUGAUAAAAAUGUUAUUUCCUCCUCACCAUAGCAACUGCUAUAUCCUAAGAUAAAAACAUAUACAUCAAAGUGGUUUAAAUUUCAACAGCCUUCCUAAGCCAUUUAUAAAUAGAGCCAAAGUUGUUUCUUUGAGAAAUUAAAAGGGCCCUAAUCAUACCACAUGGCUAGGUAUUCU